CCGAAGUAGGCAAUGCCAAAAAAAAAUACCAAAAAAAAAAAAAUGAAAGAAAAGUUUCAGGUCAUGUACAAAUUUAAGUGCUAAAAAAUUUGCUGGAUUAUGUGGUAGUUGAUGAAGUUGUUGCGCGGGGAAUUAAAUGUCAAAUGCUUAAGCAUAGCUCGACGUAUUGUUCCUCCAGUAAUUCACUAAUAGAUUUCUCUGCCAAACAUUGGGUUUUGAUGAUGAUCUACUCCUGCUUAAUCUCGCCAACUUUCAUACGUGGGCCAUGCAAACAAAAACUUUUGAUUAUUACUGGCAGCCCACGCGCAUAAAACUUAAGACAAACACAGCUGACGUUUCUUGAGGAGUGAGAGAAACAGAGAGAAAGAGAGAGAGAGACAAUGAGUGUGUGUUGGCUUGGAGGCUCUGCGGCCUAUCAAGAUAAAUAUAAGGCACAUUUUACGCCCGCUUAUUAUUUUUAGCCGAGGCAAUGUUGAACUUUUAGCGGUACCGAAACUAACUAAGAAAGCAACUAGCAACAAAAAGCUGCAGAAUUUGGGGAAAAGUUAUAAUAACCGAGCUGGGAACUAGAUACUGGGUAUUUGGCUGGUAAUUGAAGUCCCAGCGCAGCUGAUGUAAAAAUAAUUUUCGGUACACGCCAGACAUAAGCCCGAAGCUGUUGCUUUGCCAACGACUUCGUAGUUUACUUCAAGUGCGGCGGGGCCAAUGAAGAUAUUAUAGAGAUAUUAUUAUUUUACGGCCACGAGGAGGUGGCGCUGGGACUAAGAUGCUCUCUUGUACUUGUUUGCUGCCUGGGCUGGCCGCUUUCGCAAUUUAACUAAAAGCUCAAUCAAUCAUCUCACAUAGACACGGCGCCUCCAUGGCAAUGCUUAAUUUCUGCUUUAGUUCCCUCUACCUCUGCCCAGCUCUCUCCCUUGCUAUCUGUCUUUCGCACAGCUGACGCUGCCUUUGUCAAUGUUGUCAUAGAGUUUCGCUUGGACCAAGGACCGCUGCGCCUGAAGAAGUUUUAAGCCGCUUUGCAAGGCGCUUUUUGAAGUUUAUCUGCUCGGUUGGCAAGUUUGGCCAUGCGACAAAAAAGGCCCCGUGGCAUUACCUGGCCAAAAUACGCGCACGCGUCUGUGUGUGUUUGCUUGUAUGGGUUUGUCUUGCAUGCAUUUUAGGCAACCGCUAGCAAACAUAUUUGCUUAGCUGCAAAAGGGUUGAUUAUUAGGCACCAAUGCUUCUCGGAACUGAAAAUUGCUGCGGCUAAUGCGCCCAAAGGCGGCUUAGCGAUUAAGUCUGCAAUGUGACGAGGCCUUAAAGUAAUUGCUCGAAAAUGAGCCCAGCUUUUGAUGUACACGUUGUGCAAUUAAAAUGGGGGAAAAGCCUUUAAGAUGGCUAUAUAAUAAAGA